AUUGAACGCUGGCGGCAGGCCUAACACAUGCAAGUCGAACGGUAGCACAGAGGAGCUUGCUCCUUGGGUGACGAGUGGCGGACGGGUGAGUAAUGUCUGGGAAACUGCCCGAUGGAGGGGGAUAACUACUGGAAACGGUAGCUAAUACCGCAUAACGUCUUCGGACCAAAGCGGGGGACCUUCGGGCCUCACACCAUCGGAUGUGCCCAGAUGGGAUUAGCUAGUAGGUGGGGUAAUGGCUCACCUAGGCGACGAUCCCUAGCUGGUCUGAGAGGAUGACCAGCCACACUGGAACUGAGACACGGUCCAGACUCCUACGGGAGGCAGCAGUGGGGAAUAUUGCACAAUGGGCGCAAGCCUGAUGCAGCCAUGCCGCGUGUAUGAAGAAGGCCUUCGGGUUGUAAAGUACUUUCAGCGGGGGGGAAGGCGAUGUGGUUAAUAACCGCAUCGAUUGACGUUACCCGCAGAAGAAGCACCGGCUAACUCCGUGCCAGCCGCCGCCGUAA
rnacentral:rRNA from 1 species